UUGCCUCUGAAUCAAGGCCAGCAGUUUGCCAAAGCUGUUGGUUUCAAGCAGAAGCCUAAAGAAUCAUCUUUCUCUAGUCUGUUGGCCAUUUCAGAGCUUUGGAAAUGCAACGGCCAAUUCGUUAGAAACAUUU
rnacentral:snoRNA from 1 species